rnacentral:misc_RNA from 1 species
GUAUUUUGAAUUGUUUAUUCAUAAUAUUUUUCAGACAAAGAGUUAAAAGAUAAAGGUUGAUGUUUGGUCGAUCUUCAUAAAGAAGAUCAACUGACAUUGCACACAAGGUGGAUAUGGAUUUAAAAAGUGCCAUAAAACACUUAUUAUGAAUGAUCCUUCCGCAGGUUCACCUACGGAAA